GCUGGUUUUCUGCGAAACCUAUAUAAGUAGGUAAUUUUAAUAAAAUCAAAGCAGGUACAGAAUUGUGAUCUUAUACAACUUUCAUUUAUUUUUUUUUUAAUAAAUAAAUAUUUUUGUAAACAUUGGGGGGUCGUGAAGACUCUAUCAGUUAGUAUUUGUUCUCGGAAGGGCUAUGAUUAAUAUUGAAGAAUCGGACAUAGUACGCUAAGGUUGUAUGUCUAAAGGGAAACAGCCCAGAACAAGUGUUAAUAAGGUUCCAAAAUUAUUAUUAAGUGAAACAAAGGUAGUUUAUGUCUUAAACGUCCAGGAAAUGGGCUUAGAAGCGGCCAUUUUUUAAAGACCUCGUAACAGAGCACUGGUUUUAUUCUAUUUUAUAUAAAAUACCAAUGAGGUAUUAAAUAUAAUCUAGAUCGAUAAAAGCACCGACGAUUCCACGGAUCUAAAUAAUAUACCGAAACCUUGUCCAUGUAUAUCUAUAUUUUCUUAAAAGCAGAUGAAGAAAAAGAAUGUUAUAUAUAAUGGGGUAGCGGAACAUUGGGCAAACCACACCUUUUUUUUUAUAAAAAAACUUUAGGUACCCCAAGUGAUAAUGCUGACAUGAGUAACGAUAAAGGGAAAACCCCUCGCCUAAAGCUUAUGGAAUUUAGUUAAAGUAACGGCCUCUAAGUUUAUAAAUAAAAAACUUAAAUACUCUAAAGUAGAGUAUUUAAGUUAACCUAAGGGAUUAAACGAUGAGCAAAUCUAUAGAGAUACAAAUAAAUAACAUAUAUAGACAGUUUUCAAAAAAGCAAUAAUUGUGUUAAAGUGAUAAAUGUUCUGGAAAAUAGUAUCUAAUUAAAAAUUUAUAUAUAUGAGUAGUUUAAAGAAAAUAUAUAGAUUUUAAAUAUACCGUACCUAAAAACUACCACAAGUAAGCAAGUAGAGAAUACGAAGGCGUUCGAGCGAACAAUCAUUAAGGAACUCGGCAAACUAA
rnacentral:rRNA from 1 species